rnacentral:rRNA from 1 species
GAUGAACGCUGGCGGCGUGCCUAAUACAUGCAAGUCGAGCGAACGGACGAGAAGCUUGCUUCUCUGAUGUUAGCGGCGGACGGGUGAGUAACACGUGGAUAACCUACCUAUAAGACUGGGAUAACUUCGGGAAACCGGAGCUAAUACCGGAUAAUAUUUUGAACCGCAUGGUUCAAAAGUGAAAGACGGUCUUGCUGUCACUUAUAGAUGGAUCCGCGCUGCAUUAGCUAGUUGGUAAGGUAACGGCUUACCAAGGCAACGAUGCAUAGCCGACCUGAGAGGGUGAUCGGCCACACUGUAACUGAGACACGGUCCAGACUCCUACGGGAGGCAGCAGUAGGGAAUCUUCCGCAAUGGGCGAAAGCCUGCCGGAGCAACGCCGCGUGAGUGAUGAAGGUCUUCUGCUCGUAAAACUCUGUUAUUAGGGAAGAACAUAUGUGUAAGUAACUGUGCACAUCUUGACGGUACCUAAUCAGAAAGCCACGGCUAAGUACGUG